rnacentral:rRNA from 1 species
CGCACAAGCGGUGGAGCAUGUGGUUUAAUUCGAUGCAACGCGAAGAACCUUACCUACUCUUGACAUCCAGAGAACUUAGCAGAGAUGCUUUGGUGCCUUCGGGAACUNUGAGACAGGUGCUGCAUGGCUGUCGUCAGCUCGUGUUGUGAAAUGUUGGGUUAAGUCCCGCAACGAGCGCAACCCUUAUCCUUUGUUGCCAGCGAUUCGGUCGGGAACUCAAAGGAGACUGCCAGUGAUAAACUGGAGGAAGGUGGGGAUGACGUCAAGUCAUCAUGGCCCUUACGAGUAGGGCUACACACUUGNUACAAUGGCAUAUACAAAGAGAAGCGACCUCGCGAGAGCAAGCGGACCUCAUAAAGUAUGUCGUAGUCCGGAUUGGAGUCUGCAACUNGACUCCACGAAGUCGGAAUCGCUAGUAAUCGUGGAUCAGAAUGCCACGGUGAAUACGUUCCCGGGCCUUGUACACACCGCCCGUCACACCAUGGGAGUGGGUUGCAAAAGAAGUAGGUAGCUUAACUAGAGGGAGGGCGGGAUNCAGGAACANAAUACAAG